rnacentral:rRNA from 1 species
GGGGGAAUAUUGCACAAUGGGCGAAAGCCUGAUGCAGCGACGCCGCGUGAGGGAUGACGGCCUUCGGGUUGUAAACCUCUUUCAGUAGGGACGAAGCGCAAGUGACGGUACCUGCAGAAGAAGCACCGGCUAACUACGUGCCAGCAGCCGCGGUAAUACGUAGGGUGGGAGCGUUGUCCGGAAUUACUGGGCGUAAAGAGCUCGUAGGCGGUUUGUCACGCCGUCUGUGAAAUCCUAGGGCUUAACACUGGACGUGCGGGCGAUACGGGCUGACUUGAGUACUACAGGGGAGGCUGGAAUAUCUGGUGUAGCGGUGGAAUACACAGAUAUCAGGAAGAGCACCGAUGGCGAAGGCAGGUCUCUGGGUAGUAACUGACGCUGAGGAGCGAAAGCAUGGGUAGCGAACAGG